UCCCCCUGCUAACUGGGCAAAGAAGCGCCUUGUGGUGUGGUGCUUUCCUUCAAUCUAGCAGGGGGACAGCAAUUCUCCCUAUUCAUCCCAGUACAGCGUCCUUCCCAGUGGCUGUUUGCUGGUUCAUGCUGGGGAAACAAGA